UUAAAAUGGAUAAUAAGAGUGAAAAAGCCCGGGUGGCGCUGAGAAGCAUCGGGAAAAAAAGCUGAAGUCUCUGGAGGUGGAGGCUGCUAAAUGUGGCAAACUGACGGACCUGUUUGGUGCCGGGUUCACCAGCCCAGCAGCAGCAGGUGCGCCGGGAGACGAGCGAGGAGGACUCGACCAUGAUGAGCGAGUGGAGGCAGACAUGGUUGACCACUUGACAUGUGAGAGCCUGAGGAGUUGUUCGCCCUCUGUCCAUGUUCAAGGACUUGCUCUCUGUCUGUCUCCACUCUCUGCCUUCACUGUACCAAAGUUUGUCUGUUGAGUCUCCUCUAGUCUGGUUGACCACUUGACAUGUGAGAGCCUGAGGAGUUGUUUUCCAGACACAGGUAGAGCUGGCACUCACCCUGGGCCUGCCCUUUUGGGCUGGGCUUCAGCUGCAGAUCUAAAGGCUGCUUCCAGGGGCAUGGGGCCCUCAGCCUUUGUUUUUCUUUGCUUCUGCACCUUACAACAUACAUCACACCUUAUUUUCACACAUCCAAACACUGUUAACACCACUGACGCGUAACAUAUUUUACACAUCCCACUACGUAGUUAGAGCUGUCUUGAUUUGCAGUUAAAUAAAUUUACUUUUGGCUUGAGAGGUUUGUGUGUGGCCUCCCUUCUUGUUGCAAA